rnacentral:lncRNA from 1 species
CCUCAGGGAGCCACGUGCCACCCCAGGUCAUCAAGAUGAAGUUGGCUGGAAUCAUUUGGAAUCUGCUGGUCAAGUCCCGAUGUCUGUUUUAAGAGGGCCACACAAAUCUUAGGGGAGUCCCAGGUGUCUGGGAAAGUUCUCCCUUGUGUGUUCUGGGAAAGAGUGGAAUGUCCUUCCUCUGACCUUCAUCUCUGAGACCGCAAGGCAGGGAAGCCACCGUAAUCCACCUUACGUAACCAGAACUUGACACAGAAGGAAAACAUAUUCCAGAAACACAACAGCCACGGGCAUAGCAGGAAGGUAGAGCCUUUCACAG